UGAAAAAACUAAAAACUGUUUUCCAUUUUGAUUAUCUGAAAACUGUUUUUAUAAAUGCAAUCCAAACAAGACCUAAAUUUUUCCUGGGAGCUUAUUCUAAGGAGAUGGUGAAUAUACAUAGCACACAAGUAUGAUACACGUGCACAUAUUAGCAUAGCCUAGGAGGAUAAGUGAGAAAAAGGUUUCUUUUGGAAGCUGUUACCAACAACGGCACAUAAGUCAUAGUAAAAUGAAUUAAAUUGAUCACUGAAGUGACACGUGGUGUAGAGAAAUUAAUAAGGGUAUUGAAGCUUACCUUUGAAACCUCUCGGAUCUGCUGAUAUAGUAAUUUUUUUUAAUAGAAAAACAGAGAGGAGAGAAGGGGAGUUCGUGUGAGAAAGAGAGAAAACAGAAAGGGAAAGAAAAACAAAAGAAGAGAAGAAUAUUUCGUACGGGUAAAGAGAGGAAAGAAAGAGGAAGAAAAGAAUCGGAAGAUUUGGUCAAGAAUUCGUGUCACUGCGCUUGUUGGAUACAUCAAGUCCUGAAGGGAACAAUCCCCUUUGCUGAAUUGCAGAUACUAAAGGUAAAGAGAAUGAGCAAAAAACUUCGACUGUACCAAAGGAUAAGUAAAGAAAUUGGGAAGUAUUCGAGGUACAACAUUGGGUCGCCACUGCCAGGUUUAAAAUCUUGGGUGUGAAUGGGGAGCAGAACAAUGAAAAGUCUUUUGUAUAAGAUGUAAAUAUUGUAGUAUAGUCAAAAGUAUCACUUGUAAUUAACAAUUUAGUUUUGUCGGAACUUGUUAAAAUGGGUUCAUAGUUUGUUUUAAAUUUUAAGGCCCUAUUUGGCUGGGCUU